rnacentral:rRNA from 1 species
UGGGGAAUCUUGCGCAAUGGAGGCAACUCUGACGCAGCGACGCCGCGUGUGUGACGAAGGCCUUCGGGUCGUAAAGCACUGUCAGGUGGGAAGAAGGUGCACGCAGUGGACUGCGUGCAUCGAGACGGUACCGCCGAAGGAAGCACCGGCCAACUCCGUGCCAGCAGCCGCGGUAAGACGGAGGGUGCAAGCGUUGUUCGGAAUCAUUGGGCGUACAGGGCGUGCAGGCUGCCGUUCAAGUCCGGUGUGAAAGCCCGGGGCUCAACCCCGGAAGCGCAUCGGAAACUGUCCGGCUUGAGUCCGAGAGGGGCCCGUGGAAUUCCUGGUGUAGGGGUGAAAUCCAUAGAGAUCAGGAGGAACACCGGAGGUGAAAACGACGGGCUGGAUCGGGACUGACGCUGAGACGCGAAAGCGCGGGUAGCGAACA